rnacentral:rRNA from 1 species
AGCGAACGCUGGCGGCAGGCUUAACACAUGCAAGUCGAGCGGGCAUAGCAAUAUGUCAGCGGCAGACGGGUGAGUAACGCGUGGGAACGUACCUUUUGGUUCGGAACAACUGAGGGAAACUUCAGCUAAUACCGGAUAAGCCCUUACGGGGAAAGAUUUAUCGCCGAAAGAUCGGCCCGCGUCUGAUUAGCUAGUUGGUGGGGUAAUGGCUCACCAAGGCGACGAUCAGUAGCUGGUCUGAGAGGAUGAUCAGCCACAUUGGGACUGAGACACGGCCCAAACUCCUACGGGAGGCAGAAGUGGGGAAUAUUGGACAAUGGGCGCAAGCCUGAUCCAGCCAUGCCGCGUGAGUGAUGAAGGCCCUAGGGUUGUAAAGCUCUUUUGUGCGGGAAGAUAAUGACGGUACCGCAAGAAUAAGCCCCGGCUAACUUCGUGCCAGCAGCCGCCGUAAGAC